AGCUUGCUGAGGAUCUGCCUAAGUUGAGGGUGAAGUCCUAAGAGAGAUCUUCAGAGGAUCUUCUCUUAAAUGAGAUGUGUAUAUCUUUGGUCAUGGGCUCUGUGAUUUGAGAGUUACCUUGCAGAAAACUUCCAUGACAGGUUGCUGACAGUUGCAACUAGUAAAACUCAUGUGGGCAUUAACAGAAAUAGACAAGAGAACUCCCCCCUCCCAAAUCAACUCCAAAGCUUACGGUGACAUGAAAGUGGACAGAGAAGAAACAUACAAGUACAUUUUAUAUCUGCUGAUGAUCAGAUGUUGUGAAGCCAGGCAAGGAAGAGCACACAAUUUUGAAAAUUCUUUCAUGAAAUCUACUUUGCAAUAUCGACCUAGGUUGCAAGGGCCAUCAGGUUAAGAGUUAAGAUUGGAUGAGUAGAAGGAACUAUGAGGUGAUGGAAAGAGUUACACCUGAAGUCUCAUAUUUCCCCAUUUUAUCCUGUACACAAUAUACGACUAGUGAUUGGAAAAACUGAACCAUUCAAGUUGAAGAUUCUUGAGCAGCAAAAUCAAAUUAGUCAUGUAUUGGUGUUUUGAGGUCGGAAAGGGAUCUACUGCAAAGAGUCAUGAUCCUGCUGAUAAAAGAUGAGAUGAAAAAAACGAUUCCUCCAGGCCCAGUACUACAUUGAAACAUCAACAUAAAAUAAACUUGCU